rnacentral:rRNA from 1 species
UACAGAGGGGGCAAGCGUUAUUCGGAAUUAUUGGGCGUAAAGGGCGCGUAGGCGGCGAUUCAAGUGACGGGUGAAAUCCCUCGGCUUAACCGAGGAACUGCCUGUCAGACUGGGAGUUGCUUGGAGUCCGGGAGGAAGGCGAGUGGAAUUCCGUGGUGUAGCGGUGAAAUGCGCAGAUAUCAGGAAGAACACCCGUGGCGAAGCGGCUCUCUAG